GCUGGCGGCACGCUUAACACAUGCAAGUCGAACGAAGUAGCAAUACUUAGUGGCAGACGGGUGAGUAACAUGUGGGUAUCUGCCCUUUGGCCUGGAAUAACACGAGGAAACUUGUGCUAAUACCGGAUAAGUCUUUACGGAGAAAGCUUUAUGCACCAUUGGAUGAGCCCGCACUUGAUUAGUUUGUUGGUGGGGUAAUGGCCUACCAAGACUGUGAUCAAUAGCUGAUUUGAGAGGAUGAUCAGCCACAUUGGGACUGAGACACGGCCCAAACUCCUACGGGAGGCAGCAGUGGGGAAUCUUGCACAAUGGAGGAAACUCUGAUGCAGCGAUGCCGCGUGAGUGAAGAAGGCCCUUGGGUUGUAAAGCUCUUUCGUCGGGGAAGAAAAUGACUGUACCCGAAUAAGAAGGUCCGGCUAACUUCGUGCCAGCAGCCGCGGUAAUACGAAGGGACCUAGCGUAGUUCGGAAUUACUGGGCUUAAAGAGUUCGUAGGUGGUUGAAAAAGUUAGUGGUGAAAUCCCAGAGCUUAACUCUGGAACUGCCAUUAAAACUUUUCAGCUAGAGUAUGAUAGAGGAAAGCAGA
rnacentral:rRNA from 1 species